rnacentral:rRNA from 1 species
UUCCCCUAGUARCGGCGAGYGAACCGGGARAAGCCCAGCUUGARAAUCCCGWCGUAGUCRAUUUGCRGCGGGAGUUGUARUCUGGAGAAKUGUCCUCUGCASCGGACCUGGCCYAAGUCCCCUGGAAAGGGGCGUCAGAGAGGGUGAGAACCCCGUCGGGCCGGGAGCCUGCUGCUCCACGAGGCACUGUCGACGAGUCGGGCUGUWUGGGAAUGCAGCCCUAAGUGGGAGGUAAAUUCCUUCCAAGGMUAAAUACGGGCGGGAGACCGAUAGCGAACAAGUACCGCGAGGGAAAGAUGAAAAGGACUUUGAAAAGAGAGUUAAAAAGUGCUUGAAAUUGCUGGGAGGGAAGCGAAUGGAGGCCUCGUGUGCGCCCCGGUCGGAUGCGGAACGGCGUUCAGCUGGUCCGCCGCUCGACGCGGGGCGCUGGUCGGCGUGGGCUUUUUUAWUUYCSGSSGGAWWAAAAUYCGGCYUUUUGUUKGG